AAGCUCGUAGUUGAAUUUCGGGGUCAGUAGGUUGGUCAUGCCACUGGUAUGUACUGGUCUCACUGAUUCCUCCUUCCUGAUGAGCCGUAAUGCCAUUAAUUUGGUGUUGCGAGGAAUCUGGACUGUUACUUUGAAAAAAUUAGAGUGUUUAAAGCAGGCUAACGCUUGAAUACAUUAGCAUGGAAUAAUGAAAUAGGACGUUCGAUCUUAUUUUGUUGGUUUCUAAGAUUGACGUAAUGAUUAAUAGGGAUAGUUGGGGGCAUUAGUAUUCAAUUGUCAGAGGUGAAAUUCUUGGAUUUAUUGAAGACUAACUACUGCGAAAGCAUUUGCCAAGGAUGUUUUCAUUAAUCAAGAACGAAAGUUAGGGGAUCGAAGACGAUCAGAUACCGUCGUAGUCUUAACCAUAAACUAUGCCGACUAGGGAUCGGAUGAUGUUAAUUUUUUAAUGACUCAUUCGGCGCCUUACGGGAAACCAAAGUGUUUGGGUUCCGGGGGGAGUAUGGUCGCAAGGCUGAAACUUAAAGGAAUUGACGGAAGGGCACCACCAGGGGUGGAGCCUGCGGCUUAAUUUGACUCAACACGGGGAAACUCACCAGGUCCAGACAUAGUAAGGAUUGACAGAUUGAGAGCUCUUUCUUGAUUCUAUGGGUG
rnacentral:rRNA from 1 species